GGUGCUAUGGCCGAGUUGGUCUAAGGCGUCUGACUUAAGCUCAGAUCUCGAAAGAGGCGUGAGUUCGAACCUCACUGGCACCA